AAACACUCAUUUUCGCCUUGAACUGUAUGUGGGUUAAUUUGUCCUGUGCCUUAUGUGGAAAGGAACGUCUUUGGUUUUCUUUUUUUGUUUUGGUGGAAGCAUGAGCAGGAGACAUUUCAUCCCAGCAUAAACUCCUUCAGAUGCUUGUGGUUUGCUUGGCUGUAUCUUUCACGAUAGUUAACUGAGGACAAAGGGUAAUGCAGAAGUGAUAUUUGAUUUCCAUUCUCAUUCCCAGUGGCCUUGAUAUUUAAACUGAUUCCUGCCACCAGGUCCUUGGGCCACCCUGUCCCUGCGUCUCAUCUUUCUGCAUGCUGCUUUGUUUGCCCCUACUACUCCUGGUGUGAGUUAUUUAAAGAUGAAAGGUUUGUCAAGUUUAACAUACAGCACUGAUUUUACCUUGCUAAGUAAACAGAAAGAUAAAUUCUAACUGCCUAUUAACUGUCAGUUAAUUCGGGUCAGCCCCUCAUUUACUCUCUCCCCAAACCUGCCCCGCUGUUGGCCUUCUGUCCCCCACCCCUUCCUGUCUAUCCAUGGAGUUUAUGAAAUGGAAGAGUUAAUUGCAUGCACUAGUGUUUGGAGGGUGUUGUGGCUUGUCUUUCUAAUUAGGUAUAUAUCCUAUUCACUUUCCUAGAGUAAACCUCCUAACCUGGAUUUGACUAGUCUCCAUUAUGCCAGCUCCUCUGGCAGUUCGGCAGCCCAGGAAAGACUGGUUUUAAAAAAGAGCAAGAAGGAGUGGGUCUUAGUAGCGUUUGUCAAAUGUAUUGAGAUUUGGCCUUUGAAGAACACAUUUGGUAUUAAGUUGUCUUUACUGUAAGAUUUAGAAAUGCAUUAUAAUAUUAUUAAUUUCAAGUCCUAUCUUUACAUCCUCUCAGAAAACUUCUGAUACCAUGAAUAUUUUAAAAAAGAAAAAGGACCGCAAAAGGCUUCUCGUGUAAAGCUGAGCACUCUGGCUCUGUCUGACCCGCCCUUCUCUCCCCUUUCUAGUUUGGCUUCAUUGCUUCUCAUUAGGAUAGGGUAGGCUAAGUUCCCUAUGCUGCUAGCAUCCUAAGAUGAUACCUUUGUGGAAAUAAUUGUGAAUAGCAUGAUUCAUUUCAAGCAGAGGCUGAGUUUAGGACAGCAGCUACCAUUGAGAAGAUUUCUGUGACAUGCAUUUUAAUGACCUCUUGGCUCACAUAAACAAUAUAGGGACAUAUCUGCUAAAAGAACCCAUGAAUUUUUCAGAUAGUGUCCCACAGACAAUUCUACAUGCCUCACUGGUGGCUCUUAGGGUUUCUUCCCUCACUUGACUUUAUCAUUGUUUACUAGUAAAAAGCAGCAUUGCCAAAUAACCCCUGAUUUUCCACUAUGAAAAAUGCGAUGUGUAAGCUUUUAAAGUUGUAGGUUAAACCUCCUGUUGUUAUCUUUGCUGUUUGUGUUGCUUCCUUCUAUCUGGAAUGUGGUAGCCACCUCUUUAAACUUUUUUUAACCCUUAAUUCAGUGACUUAAGGUUUGGAGAUACACACUGGGAUUUUGGCUAACAGACUGACAGUUUUGUUGUUUGCAUAAUUAUAAUCGACAUUGUACAGAGAAAGGAUAAGGCUACCUUUGUUAAAUCUGCACUUUCUGAAUAUCAAAAAAAAAAACAAAAAAAACAAAAAAACCCACCAAAAGGGAAAUGGAAGUAUAAAUCAAUUUUUGUAUAAUCUGUUUGAAACCUGAGUUUUAUUUGCUUACUAUUAGGGCUUUGUCCCCUUUCUGUAAGUCUCUUGGGAUCCUGUGUAGGAGCUGUUCUCAUUAAACAUCAACAGUUCAGUCC
rnacentral:lncRNA from 1 species